rnacentral:sRNA from 1 species
GCUCUGCGUCUCUUCCAAGAUAGACUCGUAGAGGAUGAGGAGAGGCGUUGGACUGAUGAGAACAUCGACACGGUUGCUCUGAAGCACUUCCCUAACAUCGACAGAGAGAAGGCAAUGAGCCGACCCAUCUUGUACAGCAACUGGCUGUCAAAGGAUUACAUCCCAGUAGACCAAGAAGAGUUAAGAGAUUAUGUCAAAGCUAGGCUGAAGGUCUUUUAUGAAGAAGAACUUGAUGUUCCGCUGGUCCUGUUUAAUGAAGUCCUAGACCACGUGCUGAGGAUUGACAGGUCCAUAGGAAGUACACAGGGGAAGACUUUGAUGAAGAUCUACGGACAGUAUUGAGACGUUCUGGC